CGGACGGGUGAGUAAUGCCUAGGAAUCUGCCUGGUAGUGGGGGACAACGCUUCGAAAGGAACGCUAAUACCGCAUACGUCCUACGGGAGAAAGCAGGGGACCUUCGGGCCUUGCGCUAUCAGAUGAGCCUAGGUCGGAUUAGCUAGUUGGUGAGGUAAUGGCUCACCAAGGCGACGAUCCGUAACUGGUCUGAGAGGAUGAUCAGUCACACUGGAACUGAGACACGGUCCAGACUCCUACGGGAGGCAGCAGCC
rnacentral:rRNA from 1 species